rnacentral:rRNA from 1 species
UGCAAGUCGAGCGGACCGACGGGAGCUUGCUCCCUUAGGUCAGCGGCGGACGGGUGAGUAACACGUGGGUAACCUGCCUGUAAGACUGGGAUAACUCCGGGAAACCGGGGCUAAUACCGGAUGCUUGAUUGAACCGCAUGGUUCAAUCAUAAAAGGUGGCUUUUAGCUACCACUUACAGAUGGACCCGCGGCGCAUUAGCUAGUUGGUGAGGUAACGGCUCACCAAGGCGACGAUGCGUAGCCGACCUGAGAGGGUGAUCGGCCACACUGGGACUGAGACACGGCCCAGACUCCUACGGGAGGCAGCAGUAGGGAAUCUUCCGCAAUGGACGAAAGUCUGACGGAGCAACGCCGCGUGAGUGAUGAAGGUUUUCGGAUCGUAAAACUCUGUUGUUAGGGAAGAACAAGUACCGUUCGAAUAGGGCGGUACCUUGACGGUACCUAACCAGAAAGCCACGGCUAACUACGUGCCAGCAGCCGCGGUAAUACGUAGGUGGCAAGCGUUGUCCGGAAUUAUUGGGCGUAAAGCGCGCGCAGGCGGUUUCUUAAGUCUGAUGUGAAAGCCCCCGGCUCAACCGGGGAGGGUCAUUGGAAACUGGGGAACUUGAGUGCAGAAGAGGAGAGUGGAAUUCCACGUGUAGCGGUGAAAUGCGUAGAGAUGUGGAGGAACACCAGUGGCGAAGGCGACUCUCUGGUCUGUAACUGACGCUGAGGCGCGAAAGCGUGGGGAGCGAACAGGAUUAGAUACCCUGGUAGUCCACGCCGUAAACGAUGAGUGCUAAGUGUUAGAGGGUUUCCGCCCUUUAGUGCUGCAGCAAACGCAUUAAGCACUCCGCCUGGGGAGUACGGUCGCAAGACUGAAACUCUAAGGAAAUUGACGGGGGCCGC